UUUCCUACGGGGGGCAGCAGUGAGGAAUAUUGGUCAAUGGCCGCAAGCCUGAACCAGCCAAGUCGCGUGAGGGAAGACGGCCCUACGGGUUGUAAACCUCUUUUGCCGGGGAGCAAGCCUGAGCACGUGUGCCCAGGCGGAGAGUACCCGGAGAAAAAGCAUCGGCUAACUCCGUGCCAGCAGCCGCGGUAAUACGGAGGAUGCGAGCGUUAUCCGGAUUUAUUGGGUUUAAAGGGUGCGCAGGCGGGCUGUUAAGCCGGCGGUAAAAUUGCGGGGCUCAACCCCGGCGAGCCGUUGAAACUGGC
rnacentral:rRNA from 1 species